AUUGAACGCUGGCGGCAUGCUUUACACAUGCAAGUCGAACGGCAGCGGGGGCUUCGGCCUGCCGGCGAGUGGCGAACGGGUGAGUAAUGCAUCGGAACGUGCCCAGUCAUGGGGGAUAACUACGCGAAAGCGUAGCUAAUACCGCAUACGCCCUGAGGGGGAAAGUGGGGGAUCGCAAGACCUCACGUGAUUGGAGCGGCCGAUGUCAGAUUAGCUAGUUGGUGGGGUAAAAGCCUACCAAGGCGACGAUCUGUAGCGGGUCUGAGAGGAUGAUCCGCCACACUGGGACUGAGACACGGCCCAGACUCCUACGGGAGGCAGCAGUGGGGAAUUUUGGACAAUGGGGGCAACCCUGAUCCAGCCAUGCCGCGUGAGUGAAGAAGGCCUUCGGGUUGUAAAGCUCUUUCGGACGGAAAGAAAUCGCACGUGAUAAUACCGCGUGUGGAUGACGGUACCGUAAGAAGAAGCACCGGCUAACUACGUGCCAGCCGCCGCCGUAACAC
rnacentral:rRNA from 1 species